UGCGGGGUGGAGCAGUCUGGUAGCUCGUCGGGCUCAUAACCCGAAGGUCGUUGGUUCGAAUCCAGCCUCCGCUACCA
rnacentral:tRNA from 1 species